AAUACGCUCCCGGACCUUGCACACACCGCCCGUCAAGCCAUGGAAGCUGGGUGUACCUAAAGUCGGUAACCGUAAGGAGCCGCCUAGGGUAAAACUAGUGACUGGGGCUAAGUCGUAACAAGGUACCC
rnacentral:rRNA from 1 species